AAAGAGCCAUCACACCAUUUGAAAAGAGAGAUUAAAGCUCAUCAGACACGUUUUGGAAGAGCAGAAGAACGAUCAAUCAAAACAGAGAAUUUCGAAUCCAACUUUUGAGUUAUGGUCAUUUCUUUGGGGCUACUCAUUGUAGAUCGGAUCUGCCGAUAGUCAACUUCAUCGGUGUUUUCCCGUUGAUAUAGAAGGAACCAGCAAACGAGCGAGUUAUCAAUAGAAAGAUCUCGUUGUCAGCUUUCCAGAUCAUCUUCCCGAUCGUAAAACCAAGGCACGGUUGGAAAGUUAUUGACGUUGCUUCUAGGCCAAGGAUAAGCUGAAGCUUUAGUGAUGCAGAUACAGUUCCGACCAGUCUCAGCGUAAAGGCCAAACGGCCGACCUAAACGGAAGCUCUCAAUCUGGAAAUUUGUCAUAUUACUGCAGUCUUCGUUUGCAACCAGCCGGGAGGUGAAGCUAUUUUGGUUAAUCAAAUGGUGUCCGAUCGGAGUGAACUCGGUGUCUCUGGACAGAGGACAUAUAGGACUACAUUAUGACCGGACGGAUUGAAAAGUUAACGGUCAGAUCUUGAGAUAUCCAUCUGGUUUCUCUAGGGUUCAGUUCUACCAGAAUUAUCAUAUUCAUUUUUUUCAGAGAGUUUCAGAGUUGCUGUUUUAGAGCUGUCAAGGUCCAUUCUGUGUUUUCUCAGGUUUCUUCAGAACCCGUGGCAAAGGUGAGGGUCUACUCCAUAAAUUCCGU